rnacentral:lncRNA from 1 species
CACAGGUGAAGGGGGGAUAUGUGGGUGUUCCACUGUCUACCCCCAAGAAAGAAUCUGAUGAUCUCGAGAAAACGUAUGAGAUUUUGUGCUCUGAUGCGAAAGAAGGAAAGAAAAUUGUUAUGUUAGGUUCACAAGAGGUUGAGGAUUUUUCAGAUUUGUUUUACACCUCUGUGUCUGUACAUGGGAAAGUGCAGCUUAAGGGCAUGCUUGACACUAGGUCUAUGGCCUGUACAUUGAGUGAGCAUGCGGAGCAGAGACUUUUGGAAGCAGGUGCCCUUCCUCAGCAUUAUCAGCCUCCUACAGAGUUAGUAUUAGUGGGGUGUGGGGGGAAGCAGACCUCAACAAAGCAUUUCUAUGAUUUGGAGAUGCAAAUCUACGGGAUUGAUGUUAAAGUGCCCACCCUAGUUGUUCCUGGACAGCGUGAUGAUCUUAUCCUGGGAUCGAAUGUCAUUAAGCAUCUAUUGCAUGAGAUGAAAGGCACUGACGAAUACUGGAAGCUCGUCAACAACAUGGAUGGCAAGACCCACUCACCAGAGGGUGAGCAGUUUCUGCAGAUGAUGACAAGUGUCACAAGAUGGAAGGGACAGCAAGUCGAUGGCAAGAUUGGGACAGUGAAGCUCACUCAAGCUGUGACUCUUUCGCCCAAGACUGAACACUUAGUUUGGGGUAAACUUCCUAAAAAUUUGGCAUUGUCUCCAGGCAGCACUGUAAUAGUCGAGCCUGCGAGGUCAAAGGUCAUGCCCAGAAACAUACUCGUGGGUAGAGUUAUUACACCCAUGUGGGGAGAUGGCUGGGUCCCUUUAAAGGUAGUAAACUGUUCUGACAAACAUCUUACCCUAAGACGUAACAUGAAGCUGGCCGAUGUGUCUUCAUGCUUGGCUGUUGAGGAUGCAACAAUCUUUCAGGGCCUUCAUGAAGUGAGGAAAACCCCAAUGGAACAGAAGCAGGAUGACAAUGGCUGCCACAAUCUGAAACAAAGACUGUCUGAUCUAGGAUUAGUAGACAUUGACAUUGAUGGAUGCCAGGUAACUGACCAGUGGAAGGAGAAGCUUGUGAAUACCAUCACAAAAUAUGAAGACA